rnacentral:lncRNA from 1 species
UCCUCCUCCUUGGGUUUGGCUUGCACUUUCUUCUCAGGUCUUUCUCCUCUGAGGCAGAAGAAGCCCCUGGGCCAAGACUGAGAAUUAUUAGUAUUAAUAUUAGUAAUAUUACAUCUUAGUAUCUAGUCUUCUCAGGCUGACGAAUGGUGAGCACAAGAUACUGUCUUGCCAACACUGGAAAGUGUUUGUUUCAUCACCUGGGAAGCUACCUGGGAUGUUGACAUUCUCUUGCCCCGACUCUUCAUUUCUGAGUUCAGAAUACCCUUCCUGGUUCAUAGUUUACUUAUCUUUUCCUAAUUUUGUCAGGCAUUAU